CAGCCAGAUCAUGUUGAAAAUACCGGUUCCCGUAAUAUCACCGAAGCUAAGCAACGUUGAGUCUGGUCAGUACCUAAAUGGGUGACCGCUUCGAAAAACCAGGUGCUGG